GCAAACAACAGAUCGGGUUUCUAAAAGCUAUUUCAACCCCCCUCCCAGUUACUGCCACCCUCUCCCAGGUCUAGAGAGGGGUACCCACGGUGGAGGGAGGUGGGAGGCCGAGACGGCCCCGGGGGUCGGCGGAGACCCAGCGGGAGCAGGGGGAAAUCGGAAGAGCUGGGGGCAUGGAGCGGGCGAGUUUGGAGCGGAAUGAGCCGACCAGGCUGGCCUUGAACUCAGAAAUCCGCCUGCCUCUGACUCCCGAGUGCUGAGAUUAAAGGUGUGCACCACCACACCCGACAAGGAAGCCUGUUUUAAGAAGUGAUUCCAUGGAGGAGUUCUGCGGCGGCUCAGGGCUUGACUAAACAGUGGACCUCAGACCCGAGGGUGAAGGAUGAGGAGGAUGGAAGAAAAUGGGAGUGGCGCUUGCUGCAAAGGGUCUCGAAGGGUCUCAGCACCUGCGAACUGGCUCCAAUCCAAACUCCACUAUUCAUGGUCAAGUUCACAUAGGGCUUGGGGUUCUAACAAGAUGUGACUAAACUUACGUUUUCUAUCUUAUUGAUUGUUGUUGAUGCACGUCUGGUGGUACAUGCUUGAAGAACACAGACACCCUGAGAAGAAAGACAUAGCUCCCCAGAUUCCAGCACGCACUUCUCUGUGAGCUACCACUGUAGCUGAAGAUACAGGGCUCAGGAGGAACACUUGGCCUUCGCUCUGAACUUCAGGCCCACGUAACCAUCAGCCGACAUGACACUGCAAAGGCACCUUAGCUCUGCUGUCCCAGAUGGCCAAGCCAACCUUAUUCCAGAAGCUACUUCUCCUGAUGUAAGAACCAGACACAAAGGACAACCUCUGCCUCACCCUCCUUCACACAACACUGAGUCUGUCAUCUUUGAAGCAUUUCUCAAGCCAUGUUUAUUCCCCUGGCCUACGUGGAACACAGCCAGGGUACGGAACACAACCUCAGCACCGGUCUGCUUUCCUCUCCCCAUUUCUGGUCUUUCUCAGAUGCCCAGAGCUCCUCUGUCCCAAUGACUGCUUAUCAAAGAUCUCACUGUGUCCCCACCCAAGGGGUCUUUGGCCACCCUGUGAAGUCCUAGUGGCCUGGAGUUUGCCCCCUUUCCCAGACACCUUAGGGUUCCUGCUGCAGCUCCAGAACUGGGGGAGCAGGGUUGGGGGUGAGUGUGUGUGUGUGUGUGUGUGUGUGUGUGUGUGUGUGUGUUGACUCACCCUGCAGUAUUCUCUCCAUCUGCACAGGUCCCCAGUCUCUGAGACUGAAUCACCCCUCUUUCACUAUGCCUCUGCACAGCUGCCCUUGUGCUCCCUCUCCUUGCCCCGCCUCUUUUUAAGACAGUAUUAUGCAGCCCUGGCUGUCCUGGAACUUAUGUAAACCAGCCUGGCCUUGAACUUGCAGAGAUCCACCUGCCUUUGCCUCUGCCCCUGCCCCUGCCCCUGCCCCUGCCCCUGCCCCUGCCCCUGCCUUUCUGCCUCUGCCUCUGCCUCUCUGCCUUUCUGCCUCUGCCUCUCUGCCUCUGCCUCUCUGCCUCUGCCUCUCAAGUGUCAGGGAUUAAUGCCUGCCACCUCCCCAGUCCCACCCCUCUCCAUCUACCAUGUGGGUUCCACGGGGCAAACCCAAGUCAUCAGGCUUGUUGGCCAGUGCCUUUAUCCACUGAGCCAAGCCGCUUGGUGUGUCUUUGAUGGUGAUUAUUUACAGGAGCUAUUCAGCAAGGUUAAAUGCUGGCAACCCAAUGAGGGGGUCUCUUGAUCCAAAACUGAGAAGUUGAGGCACUAUUUCAGAAUGACCAAAGACAGUAGAAGAAUCUAGAUAUGUCGAUGAUGAGAACAAUGAUAACUCCAAAAGCUGAGGGAAAUUAACUCAAAAUCUUCCAGCUUCCUUUUCCUUACCUAGUUUGGCGGACUCCAACUCUUGGGAUAGCUUUUUUUCUGGCCCCAAACUCACCUGAUUCGUCUGUCCACUGCCACACUGAAGAAUGAACAGCUGUCUCAGAGAGCUUGGCUCCAGAGCUCUGCAAAAAGAGGACACCUUGCCUUGAGCUGUGUUUCCAGAAUGUAUUGCAGCCCCCAGAGUCAUGUACUGUGACCAGGUGAGGACAUGCAUCUUCUGUUCUCCUGCACCCAGGGCCCCAGCAACCAAGGAUCUGGGGACAUGGCGGGUGUUUGGCAGGUUCGCACUCUGAAAAUAUUUGAUGAGACUCAGUAUAUGCUAAAUAAACACUGGAUCAAG
rnacentral:lncRNA from 1 species